CACAUGGGACUUUUCUUUUAUUUCAGGAUAUACACCAUUUCUCACAGAGAGAUGCUCUGUCUCCGCAGUUUGAACCAGUACUACUACCUACUUCUACAACAAACUUUACAAAAAUUGCUUCUUUUACCUGCAGAGCAGCUACAUCAUGUGACGGUGGAAUUAUAGAAGAUGUGAAGAAAACACACACUCCAACACUAAAAGCAUGCCUCUUCUCUUCGGUGGCGCAGGGGUAUUUUAGAAUGGACUCUUCUGCAACCCAGUUUCACAUAGAGACUCAUGAGAACACAUCAGGACUUUGGUCAAUAUGGUACCGCAACCAUUUUGACCGUAGUGUUGUAUUAAAUGAUGUGUUUCUUUCCAAGGAGACCAAGCACAUGUUAAAGAUUCUGAAUUUCACUGGCCCUUUAUUUCUACCUCCAGGCUGUUGGAAUAUAUUUUCUUUGAAACUUGCUGUUAAAGACAUUGCCAUAAAUCUAUUCACCAAUGUAUUUUUGACUACAAACAUAGGUGCCACUUUUGCAAUACCUCUACAGAUUUAUUCAGCACCAACCAAGGUAUUUUCUA
rnacentral:sRNA from 1 species